UACGGGGGGGGCAAGCGUUGUUCGGAAUUACUGGGCGUAAAGGGCUCGUAGGUGGCCAACUAAGUCAGACGUGAAAUCCCUCGGCUUAACCGGGGAACUGCGUCUGAUACUGGAUGGCUUGAGGUUGGGAGAGGGAUGCGGAAUUCCAGGUGUAGCGGUGAAAUGCGUAGAUAUCUGGAGGAACACCGGUGGCGAAGGCGACAUCCUGGACCAAUUCUGACGCUGAGGAGCGAAAGCCAGGGGAGCGAUCCGG
rnacentral:rRNA from 1 species